AGCAAACGAGAAUUGAACGGA
rnacentral:miRNA from 1 species